AUUCCCGAUGUUGAGUGGGAAUCUCCUUUCUUGCAACUUGAAUCCAUUUGUUCAGGUCCCUCUGGAAUGUGAGAAAGUAACCUUGCUCCAUCUUUCAUGUGACAGCCCUUGAGAUAUUUGAAGAUGGUUAUCGUAUCGCCUCUCUUCAUGUCUCCUCUCAGUCUCCUCUUCCCCAGGCUAAACAUGCCCAGCUCCUUCAAC